GCCAGCAGCCAUGUCACCCUGCAACUUACAAUUGGCAGCCCACUAAAGCUAAGCAGGUGUGAGCCUGGUCAGUACCUGGAUAGGAGACCUCCUGGGAAAAACUAAGGUUGCUGCUGGAA
ensembl:rRNA 5S_rRNA 5S ribosomal RNA